rnacentral:rRNA from 1 species
UGACCUGCGGCAGCCUAACACAUGCAAUCGAUCGGAUGACGGGAGCUUGCUCCUUGAUUCAGCGCGGACGGGUGAGUUAAUGCCUAGGAAUCUGCCUGGUAGUGGGGGACAACGUUUUCGAAAAGGAACGCCUUAUAUUACCGCAUACGUCCUACGGGAGAAAGCCACGGGGACCUUCGGCCUUGCGCUAUCAGAUGAGCCUAGGUCGGAUUAGCUAGAUUGGUGGGGUAAUGGCUCACCAAGGCGACGAUCCGUAACUGGUCUGAGAGGAUGAUCAGUCACACUGGAACUGAGACACGGUCCAGACUCCUACGGGAGGCAGCAGUGGGGAAUAUUGGACAAUGGGCGAAAGCCUGAUCCAGCCAUGCCGCGUGUGUGAAGAAGGUCUUCGGAUUGUAAAGCACUUUAAGUUGGGAGGAAGGGCAGUAAGUUAAUACCUUGCUGUUUUGACGUUACCGACAGAAUAAGCACCGGCUAAGCUCUGUGCCAGCAGCCGCGGUAAUACAGAGGGUGCAAGCGUUAAUCGGAAUUACUGGGCGUAAAGCGCGCGUAGGUGGUUCGUUAAGUUGGAUGUGAAAGCCCCGGGCUCAACCUGGGAACUGCAUCCAAAACUGGCGAGCUAGAGUACGGUAGAGGGUGGUGGAAUUUCCUGUGUAGCGGUGAAAUGCGUAGAUAUAGGAAGGAACACCAGUGGCGAAGCGACCACCUGGCAUGUWCUCAUGUAACUGG